rnacentral:lncRNA from 1 species
UGCUUGUGACGGGGAGAGAGAAAGCACUGAGUGUGUGCGUGUGUGUUUGCACAAACCUCCUUUGUGUGUCUGCUGUGAACUGAGCACAGAAUGGCCCUGCCUUUGCAGACAGCAGUCCUGUGAGGUUUAAAGGUGCAGUACACAGAAAAUCACAGGCAUAAGCACAUUGACAUGUCCUCAUUUCAGAUCCAAGUCCAGCAGGAGAUGGGUGCGGGACGGUGGCUGUGGCACAAAGUGAGAUGGGCAGACUCUGCAUCAUGGUGGCAAUGGCUGCUAAGCUGUGGGACGCUCCGUCUGGGUGCGAGGGCCGAGUUCUCUGCUCCCUGGGGAGGAGGAAGGUUCAUCUCUCUCCAUCCUAUGCCAGGGACUGGGCCUGCAAGAGGACUUGAGGCCAGAUCCUCAAUGGGUGUAAAUCAUCCAAAUUCCAGUGGAACUACCCUGAGGAAACGGCCCUGCAUCUGUAUGCUCAUUAAAUGCCAGGGACAAAGGCGCCCAGCCUGA